UACGUAGGUGGCAAGCGUUGUCCGGAUUUACUGGGCGUACAGCGCGCGUAGGCGGCCCUGCAAGUCGGGGGUGAAAGCCCGAGGCUCAACCUCGGAACUGCCUUCGAUACUGCGGGUCUCGAGUCCGGGAGAGGUGAGUGGAAUUCCUAGUGUAGAGGUGAAAUUCGUAGAUAUUAGGAAGAACACCAGUGGCGAAGGCGGCUCACUGGCCCGGUACUGACGCUGAGGCGCGAAAGCGUGGGGAGCAAACAGG
rnacentral:rRNA from 1 species